rnacentral:rRNA from 1 species
AUUGAACGCUGGCGGCAGGCCUAACACAUGCAAGUCGAACGAGUGGCGGACGGGUGAGUAAUGUCUGGGAAACUGCCCGAUGGAGGGGGAUAACUACUGGAAACGGUAGCUAAUACCGCAUACCAUCGGAUGUGCGCAGAUGGGAUUAGCUAGUAGGUGGGGUAACGGCUCACCUAGGCCACGAUCCCUAGCUGGUCUGAGAGGAUGACCAGCCACACUGGAACUGAGACACGGUCCAGACUCCUACGGGAGGCAGCAGUGGGGAAUAUUGCGCAAUGGGCGAAAGCCUGACGGAGCCACGCCGCGUGUAUGAAGAAGGCCUUCGGGUCGUAAAGUACUUUCAGCGAGGAGGCGGUACCCGCAGAAGAAGCACCGGCUAACUCCGUGCCAGCAGCCGCGGUAAUUC